CGCCCCUCGGGGGUCGCGUGACGCCAGGUGGACGGGGGCUCGUGCCCCGGCGGGCGCUGAGGUGGUUCUGGCGGUCGGGGGGUGUUGUCGUGCUGCUCAGCACAGCUUUCGUUCCUCUGUACUCGGCGGAGUUUUUAUGCGUUGCCCUCAGGUGGGAUGAAUUUGACUGCAACAAAAGUCCACUGAGAUGCGUCAGUGUUUCCCGAAGGCUCUUAAUCUCUUAUAACUUCCUCUCCUUUUGGGGGCAGAGCUCCCAUCAGUGCGUACCGCACUGCAGCUGAUGGCGUUCACCCUCUGACACUUUGUUUCUGCUCGAUGUAACGCGAGGGUUUGGGGCGCCGCAGAACUACGUGGUUUCAUGGCAUCGUUUUUAGUUUAGAUCGGCAAAUCGUUAACAAUUACUUUCUGCUUAUCCGUAUCUUCGGAGUCUGGGGACGAGAUCCUUCCUCUUGCGAUCCAUCGGCACCUGAAGGAUCUCUGAAAGGAAACCGGUGGAACGUGUGAGGGCUUCCUCUGGCGGAAAAGAACAAGACGAAAUAAGACACUAGGGAAGCUAAUGUGAGACACUAGUGCCCAAAUCACUUUAGACACGACUGAUAUGGCUGAUGAGGAGAAUCCAGCUGACAUAGAGGUCCAUAUGUGAGGAAAACAGCCACCUUCAGGUCUGACCAUUCUAAUUUCUACAUGUUGAACAAGCUUGCUGUGGCUGUUUUUGCUGUGCAUAAGCUACUCUGAAUAUGCAUACAGUUUUGAUAAGUGACCAAAGCCAGCUUUUUUCCCUUCACCAAAUAUCUCAUUCAUCUUUCUCAGUCUUAUAGUUCUCCUUACUGCAGACCAUUUUGAUAUUCUGCCAUUCAUGCCACCAGCUUCUCAUUUAUGAAAGAGAAGCAAAAUAAAAUAAACCAAGCAGAAAUAAAGCAGUUUGCUUCAUGCAUAUUCCAAGUUUGAAUCCUGUCUUUAGACUGAUACUUCACAUUCUGUUUUACUUUGAACACAUUCCUGUAUGUUUUCCCAUAGUCUUGCUUCAAGCAAGCAAGACAAGCUGUUCUGAAACUUGCUCUUCCAUCCAAAUACAUGCUACUGAUUUGUGUUUAUAUAUAUGCGUGUGAAUAUAUACUUAUUAUGUGUGUAUGUAUAUAAACUUGCCCAGUCAUCAGGCUACAGUCCACUUUGCUGAAUGUUGAAAUACAUCCAUUGUUGCUACUCCACCCAACUUGAGAAGUUAUACUGG
rnacentral:lncRNA from 1 species